UUUCCUAUUUUCCUCCACCAACGCAGCCGACUUCUGUGUUGGGGACUUGAAUGGCCCUGUAGGCCCUGCAGGCUAUUCUUGCAAGAAGACAGUCACCGUAAAUGACUUCGUUUACUCCGGCCUCGCUGCCACAGGCAACACUUCGAACCUCAUAAAAGCUGCAGUAACACCAGCCUUUUCGGCUCAAUUCCCGGGUGUUAACGGACUCGGCAUUUCAAUAGCUCGUUUGGAUUUAGCUGUUGGUGGAGUGAUACCUAUGCAUACACACCCUGGGGCUUCUGAAGUCCUUGUUGUUAUUCAAGGCACAAUUUGUGCUGGUUUCAUAUCCUCAGCUAACAAAGUUUACUUCAAAUCUCUGAAUAAAGGAGACAUUAUGGUAUUCCCACAAGGUUUAUUACAUUUCCAAAUCAAUGCAGGCAAAACUCAAUCCUUGGCAUUUGUAUCCUUCAGCAGUCCAGACCCUGGUCUCCAAAUCCUCGACUUUGCCUUGUUUGCAAGUGACUUGCCGACUGACAUUAUUGAAGAAACCACUUUUCUGGAUGCUGCUCAGAUUAAGAAGCUGAAGGGUGUUCUUGGAGGAACUGGUUAAUAUUAUUUGAACUUGUUGAGAGUCCCUUUUUUUUUUCUUUUUUUUUGGUAUGCUUUCACGUUUGCUUGUGUCUUCUUGUCAGUGGUAGUUUGUUUGAAAUUACUAGCAAAAGAGUGAGUCUCUGUUGUGUUUCUUUGUGUUCCUUCUUCAGGUUCUAUUGUGAACCAAAAAUGUAAUAAAAAAGACCAUCCCUUUCUCGAUCUGAAAAGGUUUAAAUAAAUGCAAUUAUGUUGUUUAUCUUUCUCCCUUAAAAUGGGAAAUAGCCAACUUCAUUAAUCUCCAAAGAUGAUGGUGAGUAGCUGCAAUUGUUUGGUGGGGAAUACUGCACUGACAGAAUUUUUGGGAUGACCAUAUACCCCCCUUCUCCAUUAAGAAAGAAUAUUUUAGUCCAACCCGGAUUUAAGAUAUUUAAAAAUAUUUAGAUAAAAUUAUGUAAUCUUUUACAAGAGAAUAUAUAUUUUGGUUGGGAGUUGGUCACUAUUAAAAUUGAUUACUUUCGUAAACCUUAUCAAGUAGUAGUACAAUAUAUGGUCCAAAUUCUUUUGAAAUUUAUACUGCACUAGUAUUAUGAUCAGCAAUCACUGAAUCAGAUAUGUUUUGGAGUGUAUGGCAAAACUCCCCUUGAUGCUAAACAAGUGAAAAGAGGGUUUAAUAUUAGGAUCAAUUCCACCGUACAUCAUUGGAUUUAGAUUGUAAAUUGGUCAAAAUUUUUAAAAUACUAUCAAUAUCAUAUUAAUUAAAAGUUAGUUAAAUAUGAGCUCAAUUCAACAUAUUUUUAUAAAAAAAAAAGGUCCAAUUACAGAUACAUAUGUAUUUAUUAUAUAAACAACUUUACACCCAUUGUGUUAAGAGGGAAGAGACUGUCUUCCUAAAUUUUAAUGGCAUUGUUGCUUUUUUGGCUCAUCAUAUUCAAAACAUUCUUAUAUAUAUACUUUUUAAUUUAUAUUAUAAAAGUUAUUUACAUCGUAUCUGGAUUGAUAUUAUUGAUAUUAUUUAAAUCCAAAUAUGAUAACCUUCCAAACGAUAAAUCUGGAAUCCAAUAAUCACCAGUAACAGAAAUAUUCAUACCGCUGCCCACCUUCCAGCCUACUCCCUCCGAUACCACACCCUUAGUGGCCCAAAUACUUUUCCAAGUAUACGAAACAUUAUUCCCCAACUGUGAAUUUAAUAUUAAUAACUUAACAAUUAAUAAAAUAUUAAUAUUUUGAGAAUUUAAUUGACAUAUUUUAAAAUUUAGUAACUAAUUCCAAAUUUGAGCAACAAUUUAGGGUUUCUAACUCCAUUUUUUUAAAAAAGCCCGAUUUCUGCUGCUCGGUAGAAGAAAGUAUUUUAGUUAAUAGUAUUUUACAAUAAAGCAUUCUCACCGUUGUCUCAAAGCAAACAAAGAGACGAAAAGAGUAGUACAUCAGUAAUUACUUCUAAAUGGCAUGUCCAUGGUAUACCUACCACUUCAAACCACAAGCAUUAGAUCAAAGCAGAACACAAGUGAUCAUCUCAAUGACUAAAACUACAAGCCUUUUGGCCAGUUCUGUAAUUCUAAAAGCGAAACUGUGGUUAAUUUCAACGCAGUUUGUUGCCUUCAUUACCACUGUGAACAGCCAAACCGGCCAUGUUAGCAACAAACUGUAGAUCAGACAAGGAAUAAGACCGGCAAGGAAGGUUUGGUCGAGCAGUUAAUGAUGAUGAUGAUGAUGGGAGUUGAUUUUUUACACUGUGGAUGCAGAGGUGGAAGGCAGUUAGACGGCGGUGAUGCCAUUGAUAUUUUAGUUCCAAUGUUUCCCAAAGGAUUAUUGGGUUUCUGGUCCAAUGAAGAACUGCGAGCUAGUAAGUUCUUGCGUUUCCUAAUGUAGGGAUAUUCAGGCCUAGCAAAAUCUUUAACAGAGGAAACAGCAGCCGCAUCGGCUAAACUUGUAAAGGACUUUGAUUUGCCACCAUAAAACUUGGAUAUGCCUUUUCUGUAAUCAAACAAAACCCGCAAAGAAAAACAAAUUGAAGAACCCAUAAGAAAAACUAUGCAAUAUCUUAUUAAAAGACACCAUUUUCUUGUUCUUCAAGCAAUGGUUAGUAGGAGUAACUAGUAUCAAACCCACAUUUCACUAUUUUUUUUUGAAUUAUAAUAAUAGGAUAAAGCCCAAACAACAAACACCAAUAACCAUCAAGCCAUCACAUGGGGUUCACAUUUCACUACUUUAAUACGCUUUAAAUAAUACAUGUCCUUACAUUAAAAGUUAAACCACUUCAUCUUUUUGGAAGAAAUUGCCAAACAAAACCCUCGCUAUUUUUUUAGAUUUACUCGCAAAUUUCAACGAAGAAUCGAGUUUAAAUCAAAACACGUAAAGAGAAAACAAGCCAAAUAUUUUAAUUUUUAUAUUUUGAAUGUUAAAAAUGGUUUACCUCAGAGCAUCCAUUGUAUCCAAAGGUCCUUUGUACUUCAGGUGCUAUCUAAAGAUAUUGGACAAUUAACAUGAUUGUCAACUGUUUCCAUAAAUUCAAAUAAUUAGGAGAAAUCAACAUUGAAAUAAGUAGUUAUAAUUAUUGACAACUGUUUCCAUAAAUUCAAUUCAGUAAUAGUUAUAUUAAAUGGACAAUUAAGGUUGAAAUAAAUAGUUAUAUUUAUUGUCAACUGUUUCCGUAACUUCAAUUCAUUAGGAGAAAACAAUUAAUAAAUUAUAUUAUAUUAAAAUUAGAUUUACUUUAGAGAAGUAUAAAUGUAAAAAUACAAUAUAAAAAAUGUUUUAGAAUUAAAAUACUAUAUUAAGUUUAAAAAAUGAUAUUUAUUUGUAAAAUUAAUGAAAUUUACCAGGACGCAAAAGAUGUUUUCUUCCAACCCAAAAGAGUAUUCUUGUUGUUUUCUGAGAAAAAUUCCCCCCUAAUUCACAUUAUAGGGAAUCAGUCUCAUCAUCAUCACGUGAAAGUAUGCAUGGACAUACCUUCAAGGUUUAAAUGGCUCAAAAGAUCCAUGCUUUUCGCUCUAUAUAAAGGGUGACCUCAGCUUGCAACAUUAUUUUCACCCCUCAAAAACCAGUGCCAUAAACAUGUUUCUCCCAAUCUUUUUCAUUUUCUCUUUCCUAUUUUCCUCCACCAACGCAGCCGACUUCUGUGUUGGGGACUUGAAUGGCCCUGUAGGCCCUGCAGGCUAUUCUUGCAAGAAGACAGCCACCGAAGAUGACUUCUCUUUCUCCGGCCUCCGUACCGCAGGCAACACUACGAACCUCGUAAAAGCUGCAAUAACACCAGCCUUUUCGACUCAAUUCCCGGGUGUUAACGGACUCGGCAUUUCAAUAGCUCGUUUGGAUUUAGCUGUUGGUGGAGUGAUACCUAUGCAUACACACCCUAGGGCUUCUGAACUCAUUCUUGUUAUGGAUGGCACACUUUUUGCUGGUUUCAUAUCCUCAGAUAACAAAGUUUACUCCAAAUCUCUGAAUGAAGGAGACAUUAUGAUUUUCCCACAAGGUUUAUUACAUUUCCAAAUCAAUACAGGCAAAACUCAAUCCGUGGCAUUUGUAUCCUUCAACAGUGCAGACCCUGGUGUCCAAAUCCUCGACUUUGCCUUGUUUACAAAUGACUUGCCGACUGACAUUAUUGAAGGAACCACUUUUCUGGAUGCUGCUCAGAUUAAGAAGCUGAAGGGUGUUCUUGUAGGAACUGGUUAAUAUUAUUUGAACUUGUUGAGAGUCCCUUUUUUUUUC
rnacentral:lncRNA from 1 species